rnacentral:ncRNA from 1 species
UAAAGGUUUGGUCCUGACCUUAUUAUCACCUCAUUCUCGACUUACACAUGCAAGUUUCAGCACACCCGUGAGAACGCCCUUCUACCCUUUUUAGGACAAGGAGCUGGUAUCAGGCACAGAACUCUAGCCCAUGACACCUAGUUUUGCCACACCCUCAAGGGUCUUCAGCAGUGAUUAACAUUGUUUAUAAGCGCCAGCUUGAACCAGUUAGAGAACCCAGAGCCGGCCAAUACGGUGCCAGCCGCCGCGGCUACACCGCUAGGCUCAAGUUGAUAUUAUUUCGGCGUUAAGCGUGUUUAAAGUGCCCGUAACAGAUUAGAAUUAAACUUUAACCAAGCCGUGAUACGCUUGUUUCUAAGAAAACCACAAUCGAAAGUUAUUCUAACCAAACCACUUGAACCCACGACAGCUAGGGAACAAACUGGGAUUAGGUACCCCACUAUGCCUAGCCGUAAAACAUUUACUUACACCCCUUACCGCCCGGGAAUUACGAGCCCAAGCUUAAAACCCAAAGGACUUGACGGUGUCCCACCCACCUAGAGGAGCCUGUUCUGUAAUCGAUUCCCCCCGAUCUACCUCACCACUUCUAGCUUUUUUCAGCCUGUAUACCUCCGUCGUAAGCUUACCAUAUGAACGUUUCUCAGUGAGCUAAAAGAUUUCUUCAUAAAUACGUCAGGUCAAGGUGCAGCCCACGAAGUGGCAAGCAAUGGGCUACAAUUUCUAUAAUAGAACAUAACGAAAGACUACAUGCAACUCAGUCAUGAAGGCGGAUUUAGCAGUAAAAAGAAAGUAGAGAGUUCUUUUUAAUUAGGCGCUGGGACGCGUACACACCGCCCGUCACCCUCACCCUCUUCAAAACGCUUUAAAUAUGUUUAUAACACUUUUAUGCACCCCAGAAGAGGUAAGUCGUAACAUGGUAAGUGUACUGGAAAGUGCAACUUGGAUAAACAAA